rnacentral:rRNA from 1 species
CUGUUGCCUCGGCGGGAUCUCUGCCCCGGGUGCGUCGCAGCCCCGGACCAAGGCGCCCGCCGGAGGACCAACCAAAACUCUUAUUGUAUACCCCCUCGCGGGUUUUUUUAUAAUCUGAGCCUUCUCGGCGCCUCUCGUAGGCGUUUCGAAAAUGAAUCAAAACUUUCAACAACGGAUCUCUUGGUUCUGGCAUCGAUGAAGAACGCAGCGAAAUGCGAUAAGUAAUGUGAAUUGCAGAAUUCAGUGAAUCAUCGAAUCUUUGAACGCACAUUGCGCCCGCCAGUAUUCUGGCGGGCAUGCCUGUCCGAGCGUCAUUUCAACCCUCGAACCCCUCCGGGGGGUCGGCGUUGGGGAUCGGCCCUCCCUUAGCGGGUGGCCGUCUCCGAAAUACAGUGGCGGUCUCGCCGCAGCCUCUCCUGCGCAGUAGUUUGCACACUCGCAUCGGGAGCGCGGCGCGUCCACAGCCGUUAAACACCCAACUUCUGAAAUGUUGACCUCGGAUCAGGUAGGAAUACCCGCUGAACUUAAGCAUAUCAAUAAGGCGGAGGA